rnacentral:lncRNA from 1 species
UUCCACUGUAGCCGUAUACCAAAGACUUUUCCCAAAUUUUUUUUUCCUUUUUGGAAAAAUGCUCACACUACAAAAAAACGGAUAAAUUGAGGAGGUUUAUUUGUGGAGGGUGUAAAUAACCUCCACAAUUUGCAUAAUUUUGCAGCAAUUUAUUAACCCCCACAAAAUUAUGUAAUUUACGGCGCAAUUCUAAAAUAAUAGCAGGUAAUUUAUUUCAAACUCCCUCCAAUUUUCUCCAACCUAUUUCGCCCUAGAAACUUCCGCCUCAACAACAAAGAAAUACUCUCACUGCUUCUUCUUCAUUAAUCAAGUUCUGCGCUUCUUCUUCUUCUUCAUUAAUCAACAAAAUACUCCCACAUCUUUAUUCACUGAAAGAACAGUUGAAGAACACAUCGUGUCUGCGAUUUUCUUCAGAUUACUUAGAAUACAUUGUGCCUGCGAUUUUCUUCAGAAUCAACCCCUCUUGAUCACUUUGCCUGUGAUUUUCUUCUGUUGCGCCGCAAGGACCUAUCGAAGCUUAAUUUCUCUUUUUCAAAGGUUAGAUCUAUCCAUCGUCUAUAUGUUUUCUUUUCCAUUACUGCUAUUUGUAAUCACUUUUUUGUGUUAAUGUGUUUCACCCUGAAAAAAAAGAUUUUUUGGUUAGUGUUUGCACCUUUCUUUUGCUACCCUUUGUGUGUAUGAAGAUUUCUGGUUAGUUUUUGCACCAAUGUUACAUUUUAAUUAUCGUUAUUUAGAUAUUGAAGCACCAAUAUGUAUUCCAUCUCUUGAUUAUGGUUAUUUGUUGCCGAUUAUUCCGAUUUGUUUAAGAUAGAAAAUCUAUGCACAAGUAACUAGUAAGAAAAUUUACAUGUCACUAAAAUGUGUUAACUGGAAUCGUGUUGGAAUUUUAAAAGUUCAGAUUACAAUUUCCCAUUUUUCUGCUAUACUCCUAACUCGGCCUAUUUCAUCUGGAGCAUAAGAUAUUCCUACAAGUAGGGCUUAAGAGGGAAGACAGUUAAGGUUCUUUAACUUGAGGUAAAUAAUAGUUUAAACAAACAUUUCUUAUGGUUAAGACUAUUAACUAUAGUUUAAACAAAUACGCUAGAAAUCAGCAAUUCACUGUUAUAUUAUUUCAGAUGCUCGCAGAAACAGAAAGCCAGAAAAAGUAUACUGAGAACCUUUUUGAGUAGUGUUUAUGUAUUUAUUGCUUCAACGUUACUAUUAUGUAUUCUAAUAAUAGACAACUGAUAUUUUCUCUUUAUAUUUUGAAAGAUUUAUCAGCUGCACUUGAAACUUAAUACUUUUCUAUGGAUUAAUUUUGGAUUAAAAAGCCAAGAAACACCAAGGAAUAUUUAUUUGGUUUAAAUCAGUUUUUAAAUUUUGCAUUUGCUAAUGCCGUUGUUGGAGAUAGAAUAAAGUGUCCUUGUCUUAAAUAUGGAUUCGCAAAGUGGCAGACUAGAGAUGUAGCGCUUAAUCAUUUGAUUUGCAAACCAUUCCCUGAAAAUUAUGUCACUUGGAGUAUUCAUGGUGAAAGAAAUAUACUACCUACUUCUAUAAAUAAUGUGGUUAUCCAAGAUACAUUACCUCCUGAAAAUCCAGUAGAAUUAUUGAUGAAUGAAGCAUUUGGGGGCCUAAGGAACGAUGGUGUUGAUGUGGGUCCGUCGGAAGUUGGGAGUGGUGAAGAAAGGUUAAAUGAUGAGCCUUCUUUAAAUGAUAAAGACUUUUUUGAGUUGCUUAGAGAUGGAAGUCAAAUAUUGUAUGAGGGGUCCAAGUACUCAAAACUAGAAUUUUUAUUAAAAUUGUAUCACGUAAAAUGUUUGUCUGGGCUGAGUGACAAGAGAAUGACCAUGAUACUAGAUUUGUUGUGGGACGCAUUUACAUUUGCACGAAUCCCUCAUUCUUUUGCUGGGAUCUUUGCUUCUUCUCCUACAACGAUAAAUGCUUAGUUCUUUUAUUUUUGGUAUAUUGUGCAAUUUUAUUUUUCAUUUGUGAAGUGCUAAGAGUCACUCCAUAUGACUGAUUGUGUAUUAUCAUGGUCACUCUUGGCUUAGAAUCGACAUUCUUAUUUGUCACUUUAUAAUCGUUGAGUAUAGAUUUAAUAUUUUUGAUUUAAUAGGGAGAGAAUGCUAUAUUCAUAUGCACUAGUUAAAUAGGUAAAAUAUGUUUGUAGUUCUAUGGCGAAUAUUCGCGGCUCAUAUUUUAGUUAUGUGGUUCAAGCUUAAAAUAAGUUAUGUGCUUUAAAGAGAAGCUAAAUCUUCUUGUUCACAUGACUAUACUCUCUUAUCAUGACAUAAAUAUCUAGCUUUUUUCUUUACUUUUAGUGCUUUCCUUGUAUCCCAGAUGCAACAUAGUUGUGGAUAUGUUUUGCUUUCAUGGUCUUUUUUUGGUAUUUUCUUUUUAAAUCACACAAACUUUUCUCCAGCUAGCAAUUGCUAAUCUCUCCUCGUCAGAAAUCUUAGCUGUGAUACAAGCCAACAAAACCUACACAAGUUUGAAAUAAGUCUUAGGUUCUUUGUUUUUUCUUUGUGUUUUUAAGAUUCAAAAGUUUGUGUUUUUGUUUGUUGUUUGGCCAUUCGCUUAUUCUUACUUUUGUUCUUUUGGAACAAUCUGAAAACUUCUGAGAUUUGAAUAAUACCAAGUUCUUUUAUCUGUUUGUAUUUGGAAAAAAACUUAAAAACUUUUUGAGUUAGCUUUCACUGGUAGAAAGAACUUGUAUAGAAUAUUAAUAUGGAGUAGUUACAUGAUAGAAUCCUAAAAUAGAAUUCCAUAGUAUGAUCCAUGACAAAUUUCUCACAAGUAAUGUAUUUGGCACAAGAAGACUCAAUGAAACUUCAAUAUUUUAUUUUUCAUUGAGAUAAUUUUAUUUUAUCCCAAGGACUUGUUUCCUGAUAAUUAUAAUGGUAUAUUUUAUUUUACUUUUUGUUGCAGCCAAGUGAUGCAGCUAGUGGACCCGUUUCACCGACGGAUGCAAGAAGAUCUUCUGGCGGAAGUAAUCCCAUUGACAAUCAUUGAGUUUCAUUUUAAUUGAAGUGGAUGUAUUAGGACAAUAUAAUAGUUGAUCACUGAUAUAAAUGGUUAACUAUGUUCUAAUUUAGUUUGAAGACAUAUAAUACUAAUGUGUACUAGUAUUUUUCACGCUUAAUGAAAUAUUGAUGUUUCUUAAUUUUAAUAUUUUGGUUUGAGCACAAA